rnacentral:rRNA from 1 species
UUUAUGGAGAGUUUGAUCCUGGCUCAGAGUGAACGCUGGCGGCGUGCCUAAUACAUGCAAGUCGAACGAUGAAGCUUCUAGCUUGCUAGAAUGCUGAUUAGUGGCGCACGGGUGAGUAACGCAUAGGUUAUGUGCCUCUUAGUUUGGGAUAGCCAUUGGAAACGAUGAUUAAUACCAGAUACUCCCUACGGGGGAAAGAUUUAUCGCUAAGAGAUCAGCCUAUGUCCUAUCAGCUUGUUGGUAAGGUAAUGGCUUACCAAGGUUAUGACGGGUAUCCGGCCUGAGAGGGUGAACGGACACACUGGAACUGAGACACGGUCCAGACUCCUACGGGAGGCAGCAGUAGGGAAUAUUGCUCAAUGGGGGAAACCCUGAAGCAGCAACGCCGCGUGGAGGAUGAAGGUUUUAGGAUUGUAAACUCCUUUUGUUAGAGAAGAUAAUGACGGUAUCUAACGAAUAAGCACCGGCUAACUCCGUGCCAGCAGCCGCGGUAAUACGGAGGGUGCAAGCGUUACUCGGAAUCACUGGGCGUAAAGAGCGCGUAGGCGGGAUAGUCAGUCAGGUGUGAAAUCCUAUGGCUUAACCAUAGAACUGCAUUUGAAACUACUAUUCUAGAGUGUGGGAGAGGUAGGUGGAAUUCUUGGUGUAGGGGUAAAAUCCGUAGAGAUCAAGAGGAAUACUCAUUGCGAAGGCGACCUGCUGGAACAUUACUGACGCUGAUUGCGCGAAAGCGUGGGGAGCAAACAGGAUUAGAUACCCUGGUAGUCCACGCCCUAAACGAUGGAUGCUAGUUGUUGGAGGGCUUAGUCUCUCCAGUAAUGCAGCUAACGCAUUAAGCAUCCCGCCUGGGGAGUACGGUCGCAAGAUUAAAACUCAAAGGAAUAGACGGGGACCCGCACAAGCGGUGGAGCAUGUGGUUUAAUUCGAAGAUACACGAAGAACCUUACCUAGGCUUGACAUUGAGAGAAUCCGCUAGAAAUAGUGGAGUGUCUGGCUUGCCAGACCUUGAAAACAGGUGCUGCACGGCUGUCGUCAGCUCGUGUCGUGAGAUGUUGGGUUAAGUCCCGCAACGAGCGCAACCCCCUUUCUUAGUUGCUAACAGGUCAUGCUGAGAACUCUAAGGAUACUGCCUCCGUAAGGAGGAGGAAGGUGGGGACGACGUCAAGUCAUCAUGGCCCUUACGCCUAGGGCUACACACGUGCUACAAUGGGGUGCACAAAGAGAAGCAAUACUGCGAAGUGGAGCCAAUCUUCAAAACACCUCUCAGUUCGGAUUGUAGGCUGCAACUCGCCUGCAUGAAGCUGGAAUCGCUAGUAAUCGCAAAUCAGCCAUGUUGCGGUGAAUACGUUCCCGGGUCUUGUACUCACCGCCCGUCACACCAUGGGAGUUGUGUUUGCCUUAAGUCAGGAUGCUAAAUUGGCUACUGCCCACGGCACACACAGCGACUGGGGUGAAGUCGUAACAAGGUAACCGUAGGUGAACCUGCGGUUGGAUCACCUCCUUUCUAGA